rnacentral:rRNA from 1 species
GGAUGAACGCUGGCGGCGUGCCUAACACAUGCAAGUCGAACGGAGAUUAGACGCUGACGAGACUUCGGUCAAAUCUGUUUAAUCUUAGUGGCGGACGGGUGAGUAACGCGUGGGCAACCUGCCUCAUACUGGGGGAUAGCAGUUGGAAACGACUGAUAAUACCGCAUAAGCGCACGAGAUCGCAUGAUCUAGUGUGAAAAACUCCGGUGGUAUGAGAUGGGCCCGCGUCAGAUUAGCUAGUUGGUAAGGUAACGGCUUACCAAGGCGACGAUCUGUAGCCGGACUGAGAGGUCGGACGGCCACAUUGGGACUGAGACACGGCCCAAACUCCUACGGGAGGCAGCAGUGGGGGAUAUUGCACAAUGGAGGAAACUCUGAUGCAGCGACGCCGCGUGAAGUGAAGAAGUAUUUCGGUAUGUAAAGCUCUAUCAGCAGGGAAGAAAGGCUCGUAAGAGAGAUGACGGUACCUGACUAAGAAGCCCCGGCUAACUACGUGCCAGCCGCAGC